UGUAGCAUGUUAAAUUAACAUGACAAAGAUGCCUUUCUUGUGCUGCUUCUUUGGAUGAUAAUUAUCCUUGCUUCUUUAAAUUGUAGAAAUACAAGACGGAUGAACCAGGCUGAAGAAGGCGAUCCUUCCUUUGAUAGUCGGUGCGUGCAAGUGGAGGGCAGGGUCCUGACGAUGGUGAUGAGCAAGGAGGGAGGAGGCGAGGUGGUGGAGGUGUAGAACAGCGGUGCUGGAUCGAUGUGCCGAUUUGUACCCCUUCCCUUCCACGCCUUCGCUGCGGCCAUGUUAUUCAAAAACCUCAGGUGUGUCCAUGUUCCUGGAUUUUUUGUACUCCAUUGAACUGAGGUGCAAUAAUUUUCUCCGGAUUAGGGCAUUGCCUGCCAGCCCUUUUGACGCGAUUUCCAGAUCCCAAAUAAGAUGCAUCUUGGAGCUAUGCAAAUUUCGAAUAGUACGCCUUCAGCCCUUCACAAAGGAAAUAUAGAGACAGAUUGUGUUGACCCUUGCUAGGAAAGGCAGCUCAAAAAGUUAAUAAAGAUAGAAAAAAAUCCAUCUUAUUGCAGUACGUAUCUUUGUUUUUUUUAUUUGGUUGAGCAUCUGAUAGGAAUGAGGUUCCCUUGCGGCAUUUUUUAACAGGUGGGAUCGUCAAGAAUGGGAGGGAAAUCCUCCUCCAGGUGAGAUUAAGAAUGUGUCUAUGCACACGCAUUUACUAUGACACUACGUCUCAAACGGAUGGAUAUCAGGAUAUGUGCUCGCCUACUUUGAAACCACUGACAAUAAAAAUGCUCUACGAUCUGCGUACACAUACUACUUUUCACCUGCUAUAUCAAUAGAAAGUGUUUCCAUGCUCACCAAUGAUUACUGGGAAGUAUCUGAUUGGUAUCGGUAUGGAAUCUCAACGAAGUAUCAGGUAAUCUAUCAUCUAUUUUCUGUUCAUUUUGAGUCAUUUCCCUUGCAAAUUGCAUACAUGAAAGAAGCUAUUGUUAAUAAUAAUAUGUCUUGUUGUCAUUCUAGGGUGGCUCUUGUGUUAGUGAGCUUUCGUUUGUUCACCUUUGUAAUUUGGAUUUAGCUUGACAUGGUUCAUUAACCAGAAAGCAAUUCAAGAUAUGCUCACUAUUCAUCAGUUGGUAUGGCAGUGUGUUCAGAAAAAACUCAUUGAACAAACAAAUAUGAUUUCUUUUACAUAUCUCUUAGAUAUCAAUCAUGUGGCAGGCUUUUAACUGGGCAGUGUUGCCAACAUUGGGAAAUCUGGGUUUACGGCAGCAUGGCUGCCUCCACCACCACAAUCAUUAUCUCAAGAAGUUAAGAUUGCUUAUCACCGUUGCUUGCUUAACUUCGCCAACGGUUGGUCAUGUUAUAUAUGACCGUUAGCAUGUCCAUAGCAGUCCGUCAUUAUGAAAAAUGACUAAUAUGAUAUUGCAGCAAUUUUGGAUGUGCAGUGAUUUUGUUAGCAGGGAAUACUGAUUACUGUAGUUUCCUAUGUUUUGGUUCUUGAAAUAAGUACCUACAUGUAUCAAGGCCACUCUAUGUCAGAAUCCAAUAAGCACUUACCACAUUAUGAAUGACCUCAUGAUGUCUCAGGUGUCAGGCAGUUUGGAAUUUUGUUCUUUUCUGUUUAAGGUUAUGCCAUGAGAAAUGACUCUCUUUUCACACAGGAGCGCGGUCCAAUUUAAAGAGUUACAAAGUUAAUCCUGGCGCCAAGAGUUGUUUGGUCAGUUGAACUGGAUAGAAAAUUCGUUGCUGCUGUCAACCAUCUUGGAAUUGACAGUAAGAACUUAUCAGUACUUUCUUUGUGUCGUUAUUUACUUAGAGUAACUCAUGGUACUCACUAUGAUUUUCUGUUUAUGCCAAAAGAAUACUUGAGCUCAUGAAUGUUGAGAAACUCACUUGGGAAAAUAUUGCAAGUCACCAAAAGGCAAGGCACUUUAUUUACUUUCUUGUAGUUAUCAGUAGAUCAGUACCUUGUCCGUCCCAUACUGCCAAAUGUAAAUCUCUGUACUGCAGCCAGCAGCUAGGUAUUAAAGAUAGCAGGGCAUACAACAAGUUAUACCCAAGAGAUAGUUCUGAUAUAUUUGGCACUAGGCAUUGUAUACCCUGCAAAUUUUCAUUAUGCAAAUGGUACAGGAUACUACCAUAUAUUAUGCUAAGCAAUUAACAUUAUUUAAGUUAUGUUGAAAGAAAGCACCGCUCCCUACACUCCUUGCUUAAUUCAACAAUUAAUAUUACAUGCCUCUUAUAGCAACCAAUAUCACCCCACGGGUGCGGUGUGUAGGAUUCCCUCUAUAAUUGAAGUGUGUUAUUAUGGGUUUCAGUUAAUCAAUGAGGGGAUGGUUGCUAGGACGUAGCUAACUGGGUAGUAAUAUUUAAGUUGAUCUAACCUCAUACUACAAAAGUUACUAAUAAUAGAGAUUUGUUUAAGAUAAUUUGAGGUAAAAACUGCUAGCAUUGUCUAUAAUUUUCUGGUUUUGCCAAAUUUUGAUACUGACUUUUGUACCAUAUAGCCUGAUAUUUUGUAGCAGCUGGGCUCCGAAACAGAGAUGCAUAGUUCCUUAAGAUUUUGUGCUGCUUGAGCAAGACAUGUCAAUAUUUCUGACACUAACCUUUUUUCACUUCUGCACUUCUAUGUAAUGUGUAACGCUUUCCCUCCUUUUUCUAUCUGCAGUUUGUUGUAGAUUAGUUUGCAAGAUACUCUUUUGGUCACGGGUUUGAGACUUGCUACCAGAUCGCUCUUGCGACCAAGGAGGUUGAGGAUCCCGAAGCUGGUGGUAUUCAGGUGAUCCAUAUAGAUGAGGCUGCUGUAAGAGAGGGUUUGCCUCUGCAAGUAUCUUCUUUGAAUGUCAUGAGAUAUUCAGAGAUCUUUCGUCACCCUGAUACUGCAGGGAUAUAAGUUUGCUCUAUUAAUAAUUUAAUCUUGAAGUCCAUUUAUGAGCAUAUGAGGCAAAUAAUGAUUUAGCUUCAGGUUUUCUUUUGCUUCUCGUGUGUCGAAGUGUCGUUUGUGAGUCCAGAAA